CGUGUAGGCGGCUUGGUAAGUCCGCUGUGAAAGUCCAGGGCUCAACCCUGGAAUGCCGGUGGAAACUGUCAGGCUCGAGUCCGGAAGAGGCGAGUGGAAUUCCUGGUGUAGCGGUGAAAUGCGCAGAUAUCAGGAGGAACACCAAUGGCGAAGGCAGCUCGCUGGGACGGUACUGACGCUGAGAGCGAAAGCGUGGGAGCAAACA
rnacentral:rRNA from 1 species